GUUUGGUAUUGCAGCCACAAACAGCAUUGUGUCAGUAAAGGGAUGGGGACGUGCAGCCUGAUGUUUCUAUACUGUACGCUGCCUGAGGAGGCCACACAUCGAGGUGUGAAUAAAGCCUCUUCCAUGAUGUUACUAGAGACAGAUUUACUCUAACAACAGGCAGUGGAUAACAGUUUGCAAGGAAUGGAGACAACUAGUGGCCUAGACUUUAGAGCUGUUUGGUUAGGAGAUGUUCUCUUUCAUCCAUCGGCCUGGGAACAUAUUUCUGUACCAUUUCUUGUGGUGAUCUCUCCAACCCAAAAAAUCCGGAAGUUGACUGCAGAUGAUCAGUCUGGAAAAUUCUUUCACAAAAUCCUCC